AACUAUCUCUAAUAUGAUGAUUGUUCAAUCACAGACCUGUUCUGAAAAAAAUUGAUGACAAAUAAGAACGGCCAACUGAUUAAUACUCAUCGCUUAUUUUGUAAUAAUUUAAAUGUGCAAUAUUUUGAUCUUUAAGUAUUGUUUCAGGUUCUCCCAUAGAUUGGAUUUGUUUUUGGUUAAUUCUUCCCAUCUACGAGUGCUACAAUCGCAAACAGAUGUUAAUGUGUUCUAUCAAUUGUGAUUUCCGCCACCAUCAAACCUAAUUAAAAUAAUAGAUGACUACUUUUGAGGAUAAUAACAUUCCUGCCUCAUCGUUGUUUUUUUAGGUGUUUUCGUUUCCUAUUCAAGAUGUUACAAUUGGGAUGACCAGAAUUCUAAAUGAUGCUUUGAUUUUCUCUUCACCAGAAUCUCUCAAUUGAGGUUGCCAGGAUUAUAAAUGAUGUUUUGGUUCCCUCUUUUCGGUCCGGUUCCCGGCCAAGGUGAUUCGAAAGCACAGAAGAAUGAAGAUGAUAAAUAUCGCCAUUAUAUCCUGCCAUUUUUGUCUUUGAGCUUAAUUAUACAAAAAAAAUAUGCGAAACUUCUGUUUUAAAUUAAAUUCAGCUGACGUGCAUUGAUAUUGGCUGGGAUACAAAUAUAAAUUAAUUAUGUA